UUAAUUGAUGUUAAUAAUUAUGAAUGUUUAUUUGACUAUUUUAUUUUUGGUCACAUGCUAUUUUUGGUUUUUUUAUUUUAUUUCAAAGAAAUAUAUGUAUAUCUCAUUUCUAAUCAAUAUAUCUCAAAAAAAAAUUGUUUUGCUAUAUUUGCGAGAUUGUUUUUCAGUAUGAAGAUUUUUAAUGUGAAAAAUAUUGUAUGUGAUAUAAAAUAUUUAUUCUGUUGGUUUUUGA
rnacentral:lncRNA from 1 species